UUCGCUGACCUCACCAGCGGCAAGAUGAUCAAACACCUUCCUGAUUUCUCACGGCACACCGUCUUCGACUGCCCCCAAGUUCUGCCCAUCCCUCCCGGUGGUCCACGUGUAACCUUCGACGCGGAUCAGCCUAUCAGAGAGAGAAUAUUCCAUUUCAGCAGGGAAGCCAUUUCGAAACUCAAACAGAGGACUAACUACAACAAAGUUAACGGCAUGAAAUCUAACGGUAACGGAGGAGGGAAGAUAACGAAGAAGAAUCAGGAUCCAACGGCUGAGAUUUCGUCGUUCCAAUCUCUGAGUGCUCAGCUAUGGCGAUCCGUUACGCGAGCGAGGAACCUAGAUCCGAGCAAGACGACGAC
rnacentral:lncRNA from 1 species